GACAUAGGUGGCGAACGUUAUCCGGAAUUAUUGGGCGUAAAGGGUGCGUAGGUGGUUGAAUAAGUUAUUGGUGGGAAACCGGGGCUCAACCCCGUGGAAGCCAGUAAUACUAUUCAACUAGAGGACCGGAGGGGUUAACGGAAUUCCUGGUGUAGCGGUGAAAUGCGCAGAUAUCAGGAGGAACACCGAUGGCGAAGGCAGGUCUCUGGGCCACUACUGACGCUGAGAAGCGAAAGCAUGGGGAGCAAACAGG
rnacentral:rRNA from 1 species